GACGAACGCUGGUGGCGUGCUUAACACAUGCAAGUCGAACGGAAAGGCCCUGCUUGCAGGGUACUCGAGUGGCGAACGGGUGAGUAACACGUGGGUGAUCUGCCCUGCACUUCGGGAUAAGCCUGGGAAACUGGGUCUAAUACCGGAUAGGAGCCAUUUUUAGUGUGAUGGUUGGAAAGUUUUUUCGGUGUAGGAUGAGCUCGCGGCCUAUCAGCUUGUUGGUGGGGUAAUGGCCUACCAAGGCGGCGACGGGUAGCCGGCCUGAGAGGGUGGACGGCCACAUUGGGACUGAGAUACGGCCCAGACUCCUACGGGAGGCAGCAGUGGGGAAUAUUGCACAAUGGGCGCAAGCCUGAUGCAGCGACGCCGCGUGGGGGAUGACGGCCUUCGGGUUGUAAACGCCUUUCGCUAGGGACGAAGCUUUUUGUGACGGUACCUAGAUAAGAAGCACCGGCUAACUACGUG
rnacentral:rRNA from 1 species